UACAGAGGGGGCAAGCGUUGUUCGGAAUUACUGGGCGUAAAGGGCGCGUAGGCGGCCUGUUAAGUCGAACGUGAAAUCCCCGGGCUCAACCCGGGAACUGCGUCCGAGACUGAUAGGCUCGAAUCCGGGAGAGGGAUGUGGAAUUCCAGGUGUAGCGGUGAAAUGCGUAGAUAUCUGGAGGAACACCGGUGGCGAAGGCGACAUCCUGGACCGGCAUUGACGCUGAGGCGCGAAAGCUAGGGGAGCAAACGGG
rnacentral:rRNA from 1 species